ACAUCGCCUCUUGACAACAUAUAAGAGGUCCAGCCUGCCCAGUGACCUAGUUCAACGGCCGCGGUAUCCUAACCGUGCGAAGGUAGCGUAAUCACUUGUUCUUUAAAUGAGGACUAGUAUGAAUGGCACCACGAGGGUUAAACUGUCUCCUUUUUUUAAUCAGUGAAACUAAUCUCCCCGUGAAGAAGCGGGGAUUCUUUUAUAAGACGAGAAGACCCUAUGGAGCUUUAAACAAGUUAACACCUGCUACUAAUCUUCACUUUCCUGAACCACCACAUUAAGUAUAGCACCUCUGAUUAACAGUUUUCGAUUGGGGUGAUCAUGGAGCAAAAAUCAACCUCCACGACGAAAAGGACCUCCUUGAGCCAAAAGCUACAACUUGAAGCACUAAAAAACUAACGCACUUUGAC
rnacentral:rRNA from 1 species